rnacentral:lncRNA from 1 species
UCAUUUGCUAUGUCAAAAAUUGAGUCUCAAUAUGAGGCUAAAAACCCGGUGCAAAACUUUUCGGUUGGAAAAUUAUUUAUGAUCAUAUCUUGACUAAAUUUGAUCCCUUUGACACCUUCCUUCAUCCAAUUGGCUUCUAGAACUCUCGGAUCUUCAUUUCAAGUUUCGACACAACUUUUGAUUAAUUGCAUUUUAAUCCUCGAACUUUGGAUCUCUUACAUUUUGGUCAUUUCAUCAAAUUUCGCUAACUUUUGCCUAUUUCCUUCCAUUGGCCUCUUUUAGCUUUUGUUUUCU